GACGAACGCUGGCGGCGUGCUUAACACAUGCAAGUCGAACGGAAAGGCCCUGCUUUUGUGGGGUGCUCGAGUGGCGAACGGGUGAGUAACACGUGGGUGAUCUGCCCUGCACUUCGGGAUAAGCCUGGGAAACUGGGUCUAAUACCGGAUAGGAGCCAUUUUUAGUGUGAUGGUUGGAAAGUUUUUUCGGUGUAGGAUGAGCUCGCGGCCUAUCAGCUUGUUGGUGGGGUAAUGGCCUACCAAGGCGGCGACGGGUAGCCGGCCUGAGAGGGUGGACGGCCACAUUGGGACUGAGAUACGGCCCAGACUCCUACGGGAGGCAGCAGUGGGGAAUAUUGCACAAUGGGCGCAAGCCUGAUGCAGCGACGCCGCGUGGGGGAUGACGGCCUUCGGGUUGUAAACUCCUUUCGCUAGGGACGAAGCUUUUUGUGACGGUACCUAGAGAAGAAGCACCGGCUAACUACGUG
rnacentral:rRNA from 1 species